rnacentral:rRNA from 1 species
UACGUAGGGUGCAAGCGUUAUCCGGAAUUAUUGGGCGUAAAGAGCUCGUAGGCGGUUUGUCGCGUCUGCUGUGAAAACUGGGGGCUCAACCCCCAGCCUGCAGUGGGUACGGGCAGACUGGAGUGUGGUAGGGGAGACUGGAAUUCCUGGUGUAGCGGUGAAAUGCGCAGAUAUCAGGAGGAACACCGGUGGCGAAGGCGGAUCUCUGGGCCGUAACUGACGCUGAGGAGCGAAGGCAUGGGUAGCGAACAGG